AAGUAAUUGAAUGCCCCACUUGAGGUUGUUGAUCCUUAGAUUGCUGAUAUAAUUGAGCUCGAAAAAGCUAGGCAAUGGAAGGUAAUUUAUUUACAUACAUGUUAUUGGUCAUGAGACUCUUCAUUUAUGCAGCUACAAUUGUUGCGUGCAAUGUGAUUGCAGAGAUCAUGGAACAACAAAAUUAUUUCUGUUUUAAUCGUGGUUCUGUUCAAAAUUACCGCACCUAGGGAGAACAUUACAUAAGGAUUGGAACUCACUUUUCUUCUUUGUGUUCGUUCACCUCUCGAUAAUUCAACAAACACAAUAAUAUAUAGUGGCUAGCAUUUUGGAUUUUAUUAUUGGACUCCUGCUUCUAGUCCAAUUAAAAAAUUGUUGCCUUUCUUCCUCAAGGUACAUUGAUAUGGCAGAAAGACUAUGUCAGAAGCGUGCCCUCGAGGCAUUUAGGUUGGAUCCAGCUAAAUGGGGAGUGAACGUUCAGCCUCUAUCUGGGUCUCCUUCAAAUUUUCAAGUUUAUACUGCAUUGCUAAAACCUCAUGACAGAAUCAUGGCACUUGAUCUUCCUCAUGGUGGACAUCUUUCUCAUGGA